GGCCGGGAACUGCGCGACGAACGGGCGACGAACUCCGCCAGGGCCGGAAGGCAGCAACGGUAAGACGAACCAUCGGGUGACGCACCCUUCCCGGCGUCU
rnacentral:SRP_RNA from 1 species